UUUCUCUGGUUAUCCUCACAGUAUUUGGACAGUUCCACAGACUAGAAGUACAGCAGUAAGUUGCCGUGCCCAAGAGUAUGGCUGGCUGUGGAAGAUCAGGUGGAGGGCUCCAUGACCCCCACAGAUGUUAGAGCCACCAGAUGACCGAAACCUCUGUCUGUGAAGGACUGUAUGGAUCAGGCCCCUUGCCACCUCCUCAGGACUAUGAUAUGAGUGUGUUUCCCCUGCUAGACUCUAAGCUGCAUGAAGACAAGGACUGUGUCUCUCUCAUCCCCCAAUAUACACCUGGCACCUGGCAUAGUGCCUGGCACACGCUUCAUGAAUAUUUGUUGCAACAAAAUGAAAUCUGUACCUGUGAGAUCCUCAGAUAAGCACCUGUUAGCCUCCGAGAAUUCACUUCCUAACUUAGGUUUGGCAAUCAGAUAUUUUUUUAGCUGUUUGAUAAUUUCAAAAUGCAUUAGUACUUUAUGUAAAGAAAAAAUGGCCUUUAUCAUAUAUGAAUAUGGUAAGAGUUCUCAUAUGUGAACUUGAUAACAGCGAUAGCUAUGUAGGGUUGUUAUUAUUAUAAUUAUUGAUAACAUCUGCUUCUCCCUAGAAAAUAUGUGAAUCCUUUCCCCAUAGAUUAUAGCCUAGUCUGAGUUUCAAACUAAGAGUGUCUCUUUCCCCUCAAUCCCGGCAGCACAUUGUUAAGUAAAUAGCCUUCCUGGCUGAACCUCAGCUGACCUGCCUACUGGAACCUUUUUAUCAGAGUUCCAGGAAUGAUCACUUCUGUUUUUUAAGAACAAGAUAUUGAAAGAGCAUAGUGGUAUCCUUUUUUUUUUUCUGAUGGCUUUGUAUAAGUCUGGCAGUUCUACCUCAAAUAGUAUAGCUUAAACUCAUAUUUAUGCUUUUCCUCACCAUUUCCACCCUCCGCCAGCCACUGGAAUCCAAAAGUCCAAACUCCUACCCUCAUACCUUUUUAGCAGGUUUUAAUCAUUUUGUGCAAAUUUAUGUUGAAUAUAUACUUUUCCUUUGUUUGCUUAUAAGCUUUUGGGGCAGAUUCAGCAAAUACCUACUGAUUUUCUUUAUUCCUUCAUUCUGACAUUAAGUCCCUAGGAUAAUUAUUGUUUUUUAGAAUAGCAGAAAAAAAUGAAGAAGAAUGUCUUGGUUCCUAACAAAGAAGAUGCAGAUCUGUGGUUGGAAUGAUUAGGAUUUAAUUCUGAGGUGACACUUGAUCAAAUGUUCAGCACAUAGUUAGCCCUCUGUAAGUAUUAGCUUAUUGUUAGCUUCUCUCAAUGGCUUUCCAGAGCCUAAUAGUGAGAAAGAUUAUAAAGCCACUUCUAAGCUCAGAGGGGAAAAAAAAAAAGAGAAAUGGAACGUCUUGUUGUGGAUCUACAGUCUAAUGCCUUAAACUUAAGCAAGCUCAGAAUAACUUACUGAGUUAGUAAAGUUCACAGCGAAGCUGAACAGAAGUGAACUUUCGAUGACUUUAAACACUGGUAGAGUCUCCAAAUGUCAUUUACGGCCAGGAGCGGCAGGGUGCAGUCCAGGAGCCCCUAGGCACAUGUGGCGAUUUGAAUUCAUUAAAACUAAACCGGAGGGGGAGAUGAACCAUGAGAGACUGUGGACUCUGAGAAACAA